rnacentral:rRNA from 1 species
GACGAACGCUGGCGGCGUGCUUAACACAUGCAAGUCGAACGGAAAGGCCCUGCUUUUGUGGGGUGCUCGAGUGGCGAACGGGUGAGUAACACGUGAGUAACCUGCCCUUGACUUUGGGAUAACUUCAGGAAACUGGGGCUAAUACCGGAUAGGAGCUCCUGCUGCAUGGUGGGGGUUGGAAAGUUUCGGCGGUUGGGGAGGGACUCGCGGCUUAUCAGCUUGUUGGUGGGGUAGUGGCUUACCAAGGCUUUGACGGGUAGCCGGCCUGAGAGGGUGACCGGCCACAUGGGGACUGGGAUACGGCCCAGACUCCUACGGGAGGCAGCAGUGGGGAAUAUUGCACAAUGGGCGGAAGCCUGAUGCAGCAACGCCGCGUGCGGGAUGACGGCCUUCGGGUUGUAAACCGCUUUCGCCUGUGACGAAGCGUGAGUGACGGUAAUGGGUAAAGAAGCACCGGCUAACUACGUG